AUCUCUCAACACAGACAAGUUGACCACUUGUUCUGAUGCUUGGAUGUUGAAGGCUGCUGGCAAAGUAAUGCCAGCUCCUUUUAAAUUUAUUAGCAGAAACUAAUGCAAAAAGCUGGCUUCAGUUUGAUAAGCACUUAUCUGUAUUGCUGUUGCUGGUAAAAUGCUCAGUUUCAGCUUCCAAUUGUCCAAUUUUGUGGACUGUCUCCUUGAGGCAAUUCAAUUUGACACU
rnacentral:misc_RNA from 1 species